AAUAUUGCACAAUGGGCGCAAGCCUGAUGCAGCCAUGCCGCGUGUAUGAAGAAGGCCUUCGGGUUGUAAAGUACUUUCAGCAGUGAGGAAGGUGGGUAUGUUAAUAGCAUACUCAUUUGACGUUAGCUGCAGAAGAAGCACCGGCUAACUCCGUGCCAGCAGCCGCGGUAAUACGGAGGGUGCGAGCGUUAAUCGGAAUUACUGGGCGUAAAGCGCAUGCAGGUGGUUUGUUAAGUCAGAUGUGAAAGCCCGGGGCUCAACCUCGGAAUUGCAUUUGAAACUGGCAAACUAGAGUACUGUAGAGGGGGUAGAAUUUCAGGUGUAGCGGUGAAAAUGCGUAGAGAUCUGAAGGAAUACCGGUGGCGAAGGCGGCCCCCUGGACAGAUACUGACACUCAGAUGCGAAAGCGUGGGGAGCAAACAGGAUUAGAUACCCCGGUAG
rnacentral:rRNA from 1 species